UCAUAUUUCACUUCUCUAUUUCACCUACCUCUUCCUUCCCCUCUUUCUCUUUUGUUGUCUACCUUCUGUAUCGCCAUGACAAGGCUGCAUCCAUGCUUCACCGUGCACUGGUUUUGAUUAGGAUCUCACUGUCCUUCAAGGUUCACCGUGCAUUUCACUCUAACCAUUGUCCAAGCUUUAUCACGCUUGAGUUUCCGAUCUCAGCUUUGGCAUGUUGCAGAGCUUUGUCUUGGCCGCUCUUGCUUGUGGUUCUCCAAGCUUCGUUGCGGGUUAUCCAAUCAGUGUUUCUCCAAGCCUCUCGCUUGCAUCUUUGUGAGCAUGCGUGUUCCCAACUGAAAGCUGGGGACGAUGUAUCUAAAUAUGCGAUCUACAUUGCUUUUGAUACGAAGAAAACUCAUGAGCAUUGGACAAUAAAACACCAGUUAAUGACACAUCAAUGCAAUUAAAAAUGGUUUCGGAAAAUAACAUGGUGUUUAAAUUGUAAGUUGCAAAAUAAAUAAAUUUCAAUAAUGAUUAAUAUUUUUAAUCAAAAUGAUAAUUCUUUUUGAAAUACCAAUAAAAUAUUUAAAAUAUCCAACAAUGUUUCGGUAAGUAGAAAUAAUGAAUCCAAUGACAAUAUAGCUAUCAAAUUCUUUAUUCAUCCUCUUUUUUUAAUUGAACAGUACACUGGAGCGACGAUGAAAAGUCCAACUUGACCUUUCUGCAAAAAAGAUAAUUUUGACAUGUGUAUUUAUGAAAUGACAAUGUUAACCCUGAAUUUAGAUAUUUGUAAUUCAGGAAAUGACAAUGCUAACCCUACUAUGAAAUGCUUCUUUUCUCUCUAUUUACAUUUCAUGAAAGCAUCCUUUAUUCAAGUACGGAGAAGAACUCAUCGUAAUGUCUCUCUGAUGGUGCCACAACACUUCGAUGUAAAUGCCGCAACUCCUAUGGACUUGAGAGGACAUGCACUUGGGGGCUCAAAUGGAGGUGGAUUCCUUGGGGAUGUGGAAGAUCAACGGCAUAAUUUAGCAUCGAUUACUAGUUUCCCCUUUCCUUUUCCUUCAUCUCUCUAUGUAUCUUUUAUUUUGCUUUUUGGAUGGCUUUGCAUGAUAAACAAUAUAUGGUCUCGAUA